GACGAACGCUGGCGGCGUGCUUAACACAUGCAAGUCGAACGGAAAGGCCCUGCUUUUGUGGGGUGCUCGAGUGGCGAACGGGUGAGUAACACGUGAGUAACCUGCCCUUGACUUUGGGAUAACUUCUGGAAACUGGGGCUAAUACCGGAUAGGAGCUCCUGCUGCAUGGUGGGGGUUGGAAAGUUUCGGCGGUUGGGGAUGGACUCGCGGCUUAUCAGCUUGUUGGUGGGGUAGUGGCUUACCAAGGCUUUGACGGGUAGCCGGCCUGAGAGGGUGACCGGCCACAUUGGGACUGAGAGACGGCCCAGACUCCUACGGGAGGCAGCAGUGGGGAAUAUUGCACAAUGGGCGGAAGCCUGAUGCAGCAACGCCGCGUGCGGGAUGACGGCCUUCGGGUUGUAAACCGCUUUAGCCUGUGACGAAGCGUGAGUGACGGUAAUGGGUAAAGAAGCACCGGCUAACUACGUG
rnacentral:rRNA from 1 species